rnacentral:rRNA from 1 species
UACGUAGGGUGCAAGCGUUGUCCGGAAUUAUUGGGCGUAAAGAGCUCGUAGGCGGUCUGUCGCGUCGGCUGUGAAAACCCGGAGCUCAACUCCGGGCCUGCAGUCGAUACGGGCAGACUGGAGUUCGGCAGGGGAGACUGGAAUUCCUGGUGUAGCGGUGAAAUGCGCAGAUAUCGCUUGGAACGCCAAAGGUGAAAACAGGUUGCUGGGGUUGUGCCGACGCUGAGACACGAAAGCCAGGGGAGCAAACGGG